GUGAUGGGACAAGAUGCCAUGAUCUUCGUUUUCUGAAUGUUGAGUUUUAAGCCAACUUUUUCACUCUCUCCUUUUUCACUUUGAUCAAGAGGCUCCAGGUUACACAGAAGGAAAGUACAAGAGUUGAGUGUUAAGAUUUUGGGGACCUAAUCAGUCACCCCCUCAUCCUAAUAAAGUUCUGAACAGAAAGAUCCAAGAGACAGCAGAUGAAGAUUAAAAGUACCACCUUGAAUAUCUAAUGGAUGGGGUGGAAAGUGCACUGUAAAAGCAGGUUAUUAAUGUUUCACCCUUGAAACGAAGAGACCAAACCAUUCUCUCCCAGGUCCAGCCAACAGCAUACCCCAGCUCCUGAAGUCUCCUCUGUAAACUCAGUGGGUGAGCUGAGAAGGUGUGUUCCCAGGGUCAGGUGGAUCCCAAAGUGCUGAGCCAGCCUGUGCUCUGCCCCUCCCUCCAAACUCUCAGGACAUGUUGCCUUAUUGUUCUUUGUCCCUUCCCGUCAUGGCAUGUUCUAGGUAUGCUGCAAAUAUGCUGAGGGAGAUGGCCUGUGGUUUUAACUUUGAUCUAUGGAAACUGACUUUUGAGUCAGCAAAAUCCAGUUUUCCUAUAAAUAAGGAAGCAGGUGACCCAUGAAAACACUGAGCUCCAGGGAGCAGCGUUUGACCUGAGGUGGAGGCAGUCGCCCGUUGACUCCUCCUGUGUUCCUCACAUCCGCAGUCUAGUGCCUGUGGUGGGCAUCACACUUACAACUGAGGCUGGGUCAUCAUCUGUGGUGGCCCGGGUGGGGGCCGGGCAGGGGGAUGGUUCAGAUGGAAGAUAGAACUUCCACAAUCCAAGUUUGCAACAUUAUCCAAGUGCUUAAGAAACGGAAAGAUUAUAGAUUAGCUUUGACAUUUCCCAAAUUCAUUUAGUGUGGGAAAUGAAAUUAAACCAUCAACUAGCUCCUACCUCAAAUCUAAUCUUCCUUAUGAUGGAGAGCAGGUGUCUUCAUGUCAUUUCUCUUUAUCUGCAUCUGCUUCUGGAACAGAGUUGUUGUCCAAGGCUCAGACUGCUCUUCUCUGAAACCACGCCCUCUCCUCCUCACUGCCAAACCCUUCUAAGGGGCUGAAUAUGGUCUUCAGCUGUCGCUCCCCAGCUGUUUUUGUCUUAGGCAUUAGACUUGUUGGGAGAAGGUGUUGAUUGUUGGCCAGAGACUAGAGAAUGCAUUCAUAAGUGGUUUGUUUGUUUGUUUGUUUUUUAAAAAAGGAAGGUGGUGUGAGUCACAGUGGUAGAGGGAGUAAAAGCCACUUUGAUGUGGCAGGUACUGAUUUCACAUUCUGCUACAAGCUAGAGCCUGAUGGUGUUCUGGGCUGCCGCUGCCACCAUGUGAGUCUCAGCUUUGACUGACUUCCACGCAGUCAAAGAUGAACCACAACCACAAUCUCAGAUGUGCAAGAAAUAGUAUCUCAUGACUCUCAACCUAAUUUCUGGCUGUGAACUCCCAUUCCCCUGAAGUGGCAGAAAGCUAAUCCAUUAUUCCUGGGCUAUCCCUCCAUGGGGUUAUACAAAGUAUCAGGUACCCCGGGCAUUAGUACACACAGUUUGCCCUUGAGACGUCCAUCCUCCUAUACUCAUGGCUCCUUCAGGCCCUGCUGGGGAAGCAGGAGUCUUCUGGAAGGCCAUUUAUGGCCCUGUCUGCCUAGAUGUGCCUGUGGGUAGGGUAACCAACCCUCUUGCUUUGCCUGAGAUUGUUCUGAUUUUAGUUCUGAAAGCCCAGGUCUCUGAAACCCCCUCCCGCCCAGCAAACCCAGACCUAGGGAUGGACACUUCAUUUAGAGUCCUGCCACUUCUCCAUGCUCUGUUAAAAAGAAAAAAAGCAGACCUGGACAUGUGUUUGGAACCCACAGAUCUCUCCCUCUCCUUCCCCAGUUCAAGGAGGGGUCUCAUUUUCUAACUGGGGGAUAGAGGAAGACCACGCCCACCUUUUGUUCCCAGACACUGGGGUCAUGUUGGGAACCCCCUUCCUUCACCUUCUUCACUGGUAGGAAAGGUUUAGAGAGCUUAAAUUUUGGAAAUCAAAAGCCAGUAAGAAUUUUGUGCUGAAUGUCUUCUUAGUACCCUACCCUCAGCUCCCUCCUCUCACCUGGGGGAAUGAGGCACAGGUUAAGUCCUGUGGGAAUGAAGCAGACAGAGAGACCAAAAACAAGAAAACAGAUGCAGGAAGAGAAACAGAAGUCACGAGAGCAGAGUGAACCAUCACACACACUGGGGACCACUAGACAGUCCUCCUUCCAUUUAAGGUCUCAUCUCUACCAACAUUUCAGAAAAAUAGGAGAGGAAGUGACUAAGAGCAUUUUGACACAGUUAGCAUUUUUAUCUAGGCAGGGCUAGAAAAUUCCUUCAAGUUUUGUCAAGUGGAUCCAGUCUUUGAAGUUCUUCAAGAAGUUUUGUCUUCUCCCUCCUUUUGUCUUUUCCAGAAGGCCUCAGCUGGCACAGGGGUGGGGCAGGGAGAAGCAUUUGCUAGACUUGCAUUCAUCCAAGGAGUGAGACAGCUGAGGCUGGAUGACUUCAUCAGGAAGCAUCUUGGUGGGGGCAAGAAGGGCCCUCAGGGACUGUUGGCCCUGCCAACAUCUUGCCUCCAUCAAGGCAGCAAUAAAGAAACUUCGUGAGGUCCAAGAACACAAACCUGUCAGCCUGGCUCAGUGCCCGGUGCCCAGCCCUGAGCCCAGCAGAGGCACACCCUCCAUACGUGUCUUUGGAUGGAAGGAUGAGCCCCUGCUUUCUCAGCACCAGCCCUGGUUUGUGCUGCCGUCACACAGUCUAGAGCAUCUGCUAGUAAUUUCAGGGAGACAAUAAAGAAAAAUGCAAGCUUGUAAGAGGUGCCCUCGCUUGUUGGAGCUGCCCUGACAACACCUAGGACUGACUGCAAGGCGAUCUGCUUUCUGAGCAGAAGUGCUAGUGGUUAGAGGAAGCCAGAAUGGAAGAGCAAGUAGUCUUUGGAGCUUCAGGAAGAAGAGAUCUGUUAUUACAGCCAGUGUCUUUAAACAGAUACAUUUUUCUUAUAAGAGAGUUUCCAUUGCAUGCUGGGCCAAGCCAUGCACAGAGCAGUGAUUACCCCCAGCAACCUCUCAAUCGAUUACCAGGCUCUCUGUCAGCAGGCCUCACAGGUCAACUGUUGCUUUGCCCGCCCCACUCCCAUCAACAGCAUGUUCAUGAAGGGACAUGCACCUGACUUAGAAAUUAUUCCCCCCAAAUGUGCAAUAUAUGAAAACAUGUAAACAUUCCCAUUUCUGUCCCCAUCUCCCUCUUGCCAUUUCCUCGGGCCUGAGCUUCAAAUCAGAGAUGUUUGACAUUCUCUUAAGAACCAAUCUUCUUGGGUCUGUGAAAAACAUAGCCAUUUCAGCUCAGACGGUUGCUCAGUCAUGGCUAACUCUUUGCAACCCCAUGGACUAUAGUCUGCCAGGCUCCUCUAUCCAUGGGAUUCUCCAGGCAAGAAUACUGGAGUGGGUUGCCAUUUCCUCCUCCAGGGGAUCUUCCCAACCCAGGGAUCGAACCUGUGUCUUUUGUGUCUCCUGCAUUGGCAGGCAGAUUUGUUACCACUGUGCCACCUAAGAAGCCAUUUAUUGAGUUUUUAUGGUCUGUCAGGCACCCUGGUAAACAUUUACAUACAUGGUCUAAGUUUGUCCUCUCAAGGACACCGUGCAGGUGUUACCGCCACUGUACAAAUGAGGAAGCUGAGGCCAGAGGCUGAAGAGCUUACCCAGGGUGCUAGCUGCUAUGUGGGGAUCCUAUGACUUCAGGUCUGUAGCCCUACUGGCUUCACCGAGCUGCCUGUCAAGGGUAAGAGUAAGGAGGAGGAAAUCAAUGGUCUUCACGCACCAGAGACAGCCAAUCCAUUUAGUCCUCUUUUUAAUAAAGCCUAAAGUCAAAAAGUAGUAAGAGCAUUUCCCAUCCCCUGUAUUUCCCUUUGCACAGAUCCACAACUUUAAUUUUGCCAUAUGGACGCCCAGGCCUGCCUUUGCCUCCCUCUUUUCCACCACCAAUGAUUUCCAGGUCAGAUGAGGUUGACGCGGGGAGAGCCCUCCGAAAGGGCCUGGGGGAGGCAGGCGGCACUCCUGCACAGCCCUGUAUCCAGGGCCUGCUCACCACUCAGCACUGCAUCCUGGUCCUGGCGGGUUCCCUGGAGGGGCGCAGAACUCUGCUAGCAUAUCAGUGGUGGCCAAGUUCGGCAAGAUGCGGUGGCCUGACUAGGCUUUUUCUGGAUAUGGGGAGAGGAGAGGGCAUGACUGUGAAUAUCCGAUUCGUGUCCAUUUUUUAUCACCUCUGCCUGGUCAUUUAGCCUCUUGAGACUUCUGCUUCCUCAUUAGUCAAAUGAGAGGGUUUUCCAGGGUGGCAUCUGGGAUAACCUUUUAAUCCUAACAUUCUACUGAAGGAACAAAGGUACCAAUGAAUUGAAUUUGACUUUGGAUGAAGUAUUAUUUGGAGGCCAUUCUUGGUUUGCAGAAAGCAUCUUCCUUUAUGCAUUCAGUGUGCAUAAAGCCUCACAGAGAGGGCGUUUCAGCUGCAGGCCUCCCCCCACCCCCUACUCCGUGCCCUGCCCGACAGAGUCAGAGCAGCUGGCCCAGAGCUGAGUGUCAGGCAGCAGAGAAAGUGGCUGCGCUGCGUACAUGCCACUCAGUAACUAAGACCGUUACUAUGGAAGAAGCCGUAAAUGUUCAAACUUCUGAUAAAGUCACGGCAAUAACGUAACACACUAAACUCGGGAGGCAGGAAAAAAACGGGGGAGGACUCAUCUUUCACCAUCUGUGCUGCUGAAAUUUAAGCCAUUAAAAAAUAAGCACUCGAACCUCUUAACGUUUUUCACAAUAAUUUUAGAAAGAUUGUUUUUUGUUAGAAACCGAAGUCUUGUGUAUGAAGAUACAUUUGUCUGACAUUCAAAUAGUCCUGCAGUUUCAGUUUCGUUUUGUUGAAGUUGAAUUCACAUUCGUGCUUUCAUUUAACAGUACGUUUAGUUUCCGGUUUUAGGACCCAUGCUUACCUGCCCAUCCAUCCUCUUUUCUGUCUGUCUCCCUGCUGUGUAGCUUUGUGGGGAAACACUGGGGUGAAGUCCACGUGAUAUUAGCAAGGGUUACUUCUGAGGGGAGGGGUCAGGGUAACUUUUUCUUGCUUUCUUGUUUGUCUCUGUGUUGACUGAUUUUCUUUAAAGAUGAGCAUGGAAAUGAUAGAGCCAUUCUUCUAAAUAAGCAAAAGGAAAAUGCAUUUUAAAGGAGCAAACAGGACCACACUGCCUCUGUGUGUGUGUGUGAGUUGCUCAGUCGUGCCCGACUCUUUGCAACCCCACAGGCUGUAGCCUGCCAGGCUCCUCUGUCCAUGGAAUUCUCCAGGCAAGAAUACUAGCACCCGGCUUUACUGGCAGUAUCAGGCCCCAGCCAAGGCAAGUUUCUUCCUCUCCUGCCUCCUGCUCCCAACCCCGAAGGGUCUGGCAGGUUUCCCCACUCCCCAUCUCCCUGGACUUGGGUAACUGGUGAACGGUGAACUCUUGGACGGAUCCGAGCGGCAGAUGCCAGGCCCGAGGCUGUGCCCCUUCUUCCUCAGCAUGUGUUUGUGGUAAAAACGGAGCUGAGAUGAAAGUCACUGGUGAUGGUUCCUGCAAGUCUUACCAGAAAAGACCCCUGGAUAUACCAGGAUGGCUCUGGGCACGGAUUUCACUAUAUUUCUUUCAGUCCCUAGGAAAGUAUGAACACCAGUGUUAUUUAUUCAUCAUCCAGUGUCUCAGAGGGAAACUGUUUACCUUUCUGAAGAGUCAACAGAAGCUCGGGUUCACAGUUCCGCCACCAGAAGAAGGGCCCGCUUGAGUUUCAUAGGCGGACUAAUGGCUGCCCUUCACUGAUGAAGGAUGCGGAGUGCACUGGGCUGGCUUCCGCCUUGAGUUAAGGAGAGAAAAUGUGCUUUCUGUGUAAAAGCUGCAAUUAACAUUCUUGGACAACUCUCAGAGUAAAUCAAAGAAAUAAUUCAACUUUUCUGUUGCCUAAAAUUACACUUUAAUCUCUUUCCUUUCUCUUCAAAAAAUAAGAAUUCUCUGUGGAAUGGGAA